rfam:Ipomoea nil DNA, scaffold: scaffold1596, cultivar: Tokyo-kokei standard.
AACAAUGAUGAUGAGUUAUACAGACCUGUAAUGAUUUGCAAGCAUGAUUGCAAUCUAUUUUGAACAUCUAAGGGACUGAGUUGUU